AUCGCUUCUCGGCCUUUUGGCUAAGAUCAAGUGUAUUAUUGUAUCCUGCUCUUUAAUAUCAUUUUUGUGUAUUUUGUAAGACCUUCU
ensembl:snRNA U2 U2 spliceosomal RNA